AGCUGUAGGCUUGCAGCAGGUUGGCGGGCGAAUGGUCAUAAAGAGAAGAUAACAGGCAUGUCGAGUGCUGUGAGUAUUCCAUUCAUUUAGACAACUACGUUUCCAAGAUCAUCAAGAGGUGUGUUGCUUUCCUUGAGAAAAUCAUCAAUUUGUUUUAGCAUUGGUCAAAUCUGUUUGUUGAUCUGAGAUUUUGUAUUCUUGCAUCACCAGAUCAUAGUGUGACAGAUGGGAGAACACACACACACCUCAAUGGAUGACAUAUUAUAAUUACGGAGACUAGUUGUAAGGAUAAUGGAGUGCAAUUUUCUGAUUCAGUGAUCUGCAGGUUUGAAGAACUAAUAUUGUGUAGAAAAUGGCAAUCG
rnacentral:lncRNA from 1 species